GGUUGCAUAUUUAUGCUGCAACAACUGUCACCCCAUUGGUCACCAAGAUUGAUUCUAUUGAUCUGGCUAGCUACUCGGGUGUCCCCUUCCUCCCUCACUGCUCCAUGUGCGUCCUUCCUGAAGCUGUGCACUCAGUGAGAGAGGAUGACCUCUCCUGAAUGGAGGAGGACUGGUCUUAGGACAAGGGUAUACAAGUAGCUGUGCUCCCCUGCUAGAAUAUACAAACAAGUUCUCAAGGUCCGUUCUGGUCAUUUUAAGAUGCAUUUCUCAAUGUUCUUCAACUGGACUUUGUGGCAUCUUAAGU
rnacentral:snRNA from 1 species